GUGGGUGGCACUGGUAGUGUUCUGACAGACGGGCUUAGAGUCAGGACUAGAGUGCUGAUCUCUAGAAAGACAGGGUUUAGCAGUGGGAAAGGCAGAGGAAGGCGGGGAACGAGAGCUGUAGGAGAAUGCGUCAAUCUGAGCAGUCCUGUUUGGCCGCAGGACAGAUAAAGAGAAGAGGAAUCUUCACAAACAAGCUGAGAAUGGAGGGCAGGGGUCAUAUUGUCAGUGGUGUUGGAUAUAAGCUGUGGCUCCUCUGCAGGCUGGUGAGGAUUCCAGGGACCACACCUUUCCUGCAUUGCUCACAUUGGACAGCACUGCGUACCAGCCCCACGAGCCUGCAUACUUCUGGGAAGUUCCCUGAACUCCAUCUACAUUUAUGAAAACAAUUGAGGUUCAGAAAGGUGAAGCAGUUUCCCCAAGGCAACAUACCUACAAACAGAGGAGCCUGGAAUUUGAACCCAGAGCUCUCGCUCAUAACUACCCUAUGGCCAAGCAUCUCCACACAACCUCUGACUGGGUGGCAGUGUGGGUGGAAACCCAGGCCGCUUCUUGGAAAAGCCCUCAGAAGAGAAACCUUUCGAUAUUUGAGCUGGUGCGUCUGACUUCUAUCGCUUAGGCCCAGUUCUGAUGCUCACAACAUUGCGGAAGACCUCAGAAUCCCAGAUGUGCAAAUGCUGUGUGAAGUACAUAUUUCUGUGACUCAGAUGUGAGAACGGCGGCAUGGCUCUGCAGCUGGCGUGGUUGUCCAGAGGCACCAGGAGGUUGCUGUUCCUAGAAACUGUGAUGCUGCUCCCCUCCCACACCAGCUGUGACCAGAACUCUUCAGGAUCUAGCUUCUGCUGUCCUACCCGACUGCCUUUCCACAGCAGAAUGUUUCCACUUUUUCUUCUAUAGAAGGCAUUAUUCCGCCUGCUCACCCCAGCCUCCGACUGUGAAGAGGCACGCUGUGUAUCAGCGGGGCCCAGCUUGCUUCAGUAGCAGAGACUGAGAGUCCCCGGCCUCGGAGCAGCCUCCUGCACUGUCACCGACAGUUCCUCUCACACUCCAUGGUCAGGGAAUGUGUUCGCUCGCAGACGCCUCUAAAAAUAAUUUUGAAAAAUUAUGUGCUCUUUUGCAUAUGUUUGGUGAACGUUGAACAUUUUGAAUAAAUUUAAA